AUGGCGCCCGGGCUGGGGCCGUGGCUGCUGGCCUUGUCCUUGGCCGCGGGGCCGGCAGGGGUGUGGGCGCAGCUGAGGCUGGAGGCGGCCGGCGGAGGGCUGCGAGCGCCCGGGGACUACGUGCUCCUCUCCUGCCGCGGAUCCGGCUUCACCUUCGGGGAUUAUCACAUUCUGUGGUACCGUCAGGCACCCGGUGGCAGUCUGGAGUGGGUGUCCUUUAUCACAUAUGAUUCGUCAGUCAUUCGAUUCGGGCAGUCAGUGGAGGGUCGAGCCACGGUGUCCCGGGACAAUUCCCGGUCUGAGGCAUCUCUGUCCCUGCGUGCCCUGCACCCCCGGGACUCUGCCCGCUACUUCUGUGCUGUUCGCACGGAGAGAGGAAAUCCAGCCGAGCUUUAACACAAACCUGCUGGGGCCCGGUCCAGGCUGCACGAGGUCUGGAGCCGGCGAGUGCU